rnacentral:lncRNA from 10 species
GCCUCCCAGAGGCCGCCACUUUCUUCAGGGCUAUCAGAUGAAGGCAGCAACGAAAACACCACCACAAGACCAACUUCAGGCUGGAGCUGAUGAUGCCACACAGCAAAUCAGCGAGAAAAAAGAAAAUAGACUCUACUUAGAAAUGAAACUCAACUAAAGGUAAAAGUUGUCAGGAACAUCUCCAAGAAAGCCAGAGUCAGCCUCUAAACUUUGCAUCAAGAACGCAAUGGCUUCCCUGAGGGCCCAGGGACGCGUGGCAGCUGUGAGGCAGCCCCUUCUCUGCUGUCGAGGAACUGGACACUUCUCCUGUCCCUUCCCACAAGGGGCUUCCUGGAGCUCCUGCAACCCCAGGCAUUAGUUCCGGUGCAGUUCUAGGAUCAGAUCAAUUCACUCGACAACAAGAGAAACAAAUGGAGAUUCCUACACAAAGACUUUCAAGCACAAAGAAAUCCUGCUGCCUGUAAAGCGGAGCUGCCUCAGCCCUUGAUGAACGACAGAAAAUCUCACAUUCCAGGAAUUCAGAUGAAGUGAAGUGCUCUCAUGGGGACCAGGCAUGGUUAUGCCAGUCCACUGCCCUGCAAGCCUCAAGGGAAGCCAACUGCCCUUCAGCAAGUCACACCUGCCUUGGUGGAGGCCUUGAUUGGAAGUGCCACACGCUACAUGUCCAGUCCUGAGCGGGAGAAUCGGUGUAGGGACGUUCUGGGGAUGCCAGCUGUGGCCAGAUCAGGUCCAACUACAGAAGAAUAAUGAAGACUCCACCUGAGGGCUGGAAAAACAAAACCUCAAGUGUGAGGCAGCCAACCUGUUACCUCGAGGGACUGUUCCGCAGCACAGCGGGGCCAUGGGAACAGCAGCAGACACCCCGACCUCCUCGCUACCUGUGUGUGUAUUAACACGCCGGCCUCCUCGCUACCUGUGUGUGUAUUAACACGCCGGCCUC